AUCUAUGGUCAUACCACCCUGAGAUGCACCUGAUCUCAUCUGAUCUUGGAAGCUAAGCAGAGUAGAGCCUGGUUAGUUCGUGGAUG
rnacentral:rRNA from 1 species